AUUGAACGCUGGCGGCAUGCCUUACACAUGCAAGUCGAACGGUAACGCGGGGCAACCUGGCGACGAGUGGCGAACGGGUGAGUAAUACAUCGGAACGUGCCCAGUAGUGGGGGAUAGCCCGGCGAAAGCCGGAUUAAUACCGCAUACGACCUACGGGUGAAAGCGGGGGAUCGCAAGACCUCGCGCUGUUGGAGCGGCCGAUGUCAGAUUAGGUAGUUGGUGGGGUAAAGGCCUACCAAGCCUACGAUCUGUAGCUGGUCUGAGAGGACGACCAGCCACACUGGGACUGAGACACGGCCCAGACCCCUACGGGAGGCAGCAGUGGGGAAUUUUGGACAAUGGGCGCAAGCCUGAUCCAGCCAUGCCGCGUGCGGGAAGAAGGCCUUCGGGUUGUAAACCGCUUUUGUCAGGGAAGAAACGCUCUGGGCUAAUACCCCGGGGUAAUGACGGUACCUGAAGAAUAAGCACCGGCUAACUACGUGCCAGCAGCCGCGGUAAUACGUAGGGUGCGAGCGUUAAUCGGAAUUACUGGGCGUAAAGCGUGCGCAGGCGGUUAUGCAAGACAGAUGUGAAAUCCCCGGGCUCAACCUGGGAACUGCAUUUGUGACUGCAUGGCUAGAGUGCGGCAAAGGGGGAUGGAAUUCCGCGUGUAGCAGUGAAAUGCGUAGAUAUGCGGAGGAACACCGAUGGCGAAGGCAAUCCCCUGGGCCUGCACUGACGCUCAUGCACGAAAGCGUGGGGAGCAAACAGGAUUAGAUACCCUGGUAGUCCACGCCCUAAACGAUGUCAACUGGUUGUUGGAAGGGUUCCCUUUCAGUAACGAAGCUAA
rnacentral:rRNA from 1 species